rnacentral:lncRNA from 1 species
GUUUAUGAGGAGAAAGCCCACGAGAACUGGGUCAAGGCCCGCCACACUGAGCUCCGGAUUGCCAC